rnacentral:tRNA from 1 species
UAUGUUUAAGUAUAAGAUGUACAUUAAUUUUUGAUAUUAAAAGAAAUAGUUUGAUUCUAUUAAAUAUAA